rnacentral:snRNA from 1 species
CUUGAGUCCAACCUGGCU